AUUGCAGCUGCCUCUCCCGCCGAGUUGGAGACGGAUGGGCUGGGACGGGUUUUGGGGGGGUGUCCCCAAUUCUGACUGGGAGUGGAGGAACCCCCUCCUGAGCUCUCUUGUGGGGGUCCCCUCUUCCCAGGGCACUCCCCAGUCCCUGAGCCAGCCGAGAGGAAGGAGGCCAGCGAUGCGACUGGGGCGGCUCCUUUCUCCUGCACCCCAAAUGUGAGGGAUGCACCCCAAAUUUUGCUCCUUUCAAAAUAGGGGACCAGGAUCUCAGGGGAGAGUAGCUGAGGCCUUGCUCAGAGUCCCAGGCAAUCCACAGGUCCAGGAUGAACGGUGUGAGGGGUCAGAGGUGGAAGGCUCAGCGGGAGAGUAGGGGAGGAUCAGCAGAGGUCAUGAGAAGGCCAGAUUCCAGGGUCAGGCUGUCUGGAACAGGAAGUAAGAUGGGCCGAGAUGGAGCGAGCCCCAAGUAUGCUUCCAAAGACAACUCCCACCUCCCUGAAACACCCUGCUACUUACUGACCCAGUCCCCUGCACUGUGUGUGAGAACACUGUCUCUCCCGAAGCCCCUGUACAAGGGAGGGGCUCCUGCUGAGACCCUCCCCUACCAUCAAGUCCUCAAGGGGAUUCUAACAACUAGCAACAAAGUAGGAAAGAGGUUGAGCUGGAAAGGAGUUCUGAGGAAGAUGGAACAAUGGGUAAGGAGAAAGAAAGCUGCCCACCCCCCUUUUUCUGCCGGCCAGCCACCCUCCCUCACACUGUCCGUUCCUUGAUGACACAGCUGAUGUGAUUAAGAUCGUCCCCAAAUCGCUUCA